rnacentral:sRNA from 1 species
GUAAAGAUGGUGGAAAAGGAAAAGGAUGCCUUAGAAGGAGAGAAAAACAUAGCUAUCGAAUUUCUUACCUUGGAAAAUGAAAUAUUUAGAAAGAAGAAUCAUGUUUGUCAAUAUUAUAUUUAUGAGUUGCAGAAACGAAUUGCUGAAAUGGAAACUCAAAAGGAAAAAAUUCAUGAAGAUACCAAAGAAAUUAAUGAGAAGAGCAAUAUACUAUCAAAUGAAAUGAAAGCUAAGAAUAAAGAUGUAAAAGAUACAGAAAAGUAAUAAUAUUUUGGGAAGUACUAAAAGUAUUUAGAUAAUUGUAUUACAUGUGUAUUUAUAUAUAAAGUUACUUCUAGCACAUUAUGAGUGUAAGACAUUUGCCAGCAUAUCAAGUGGUGGCCCCCUUAGCGAAAAAAA